rnacentral:rRNA from 1 species
CCUACGGGUGGCAGCAGUGAGGAAUAUUGGUCAAUGGCCGGAAGCCUGAACCAGCCAAGUCGCGUGAGGGAAGACGGCCCUAGGGGUUGUAAGCUCCUUUUAUAAGGGAAAAAGAAGUGCUACGUGUAGCUUUUUGCCUGUACCUUAUGCAUAAGGAACGGCUAAGUCCGUGCCAGUACCCGAGGUAAUACGGAAGGUGCGUGCGGUGAUCGGAUUUAAUUGGUGUAAAGGGAACGGUGGACGGUUGUUAAGGUUGAUGGGAAAUGGCCGGGCUCAACCCGGGAAUUGCAGUGAAUACUGGCAGGCUUGAGUCCCGUAGAGGCAGGCAGAAUUAGUGGUGUAGCGGUGAAAUGCUUAGAUAUGACGAAGAACACCGAUGGCGAAGGCAGCUUGCUGGACUGCGACUGACGCUGAGGCGCGAAAGCGUGGGUAGCGAACAGGAUUAGAUACCCGUGUAGUC